rnacentral:rRNA from 1 species
AACGAACGCUGGCGGCAUGCCUAACACAUGCAAGUCGAACGAGACCUUCGGGUCUAGUGGCGCACGGGUGCGUAACGCGUGGGAAUCUGCCCUUGGGUUCGGAAUAACAGUUGGAAACGACUGCUAAUACCGGAUGAUGACGUAAGUCCAAAGAUUUAUCGCCCAAGGAUGAGCCCGCGUAGGAUUAGCUAGUUGGUGAGGUAAAGGCUCACCAAGGCGACGAUCCUUAGCUGGUCUGAGAGGAUGAUCAGCCACACUGGGACUGGGACACGGCCCAGACUCCUACGGGAGGCAGCAGUGGGGAAUAUUGGACAAUGGGCGAAAGCCUGAUCCAGCAAUGCCGCGUGAGUGAUGAAGGCCUUAGGGUUGUAAAGCUCUUUUACCCGGGAUGAUAAUGACAGUACCGGGAGAAUAAGCUCCGGCUAACUCCGUG